GACGAACGCUGGCGGCGUGCUUAACACAUGCAAGUCGAACGGUAAGGCCCUUCGGGGUACACGAGUGGCGAACGGGUGAGUAACACGUGGGUGAUCCGCCCUGCACUUCGGGAUAAGCCUGGGAAACUGGGUCUAAUACCGGAUAGGACCACUGCCUGCAUGGCUGGUGGUGGAAAGCUUUUGCGGUGUGGGAUGGGCCCGCGGCCUAGCAGGUUGUUGGAGGGGUGAUGACCUACCAAGGCGACGACGGGUAUCCGGCCUGAGAGGGUGACCGGCCACACUGGGACUGAGAUACGGCCCAGACUCCUACGGGAGGCAGCAGUGGGGAAUAUUGCACAAUGGGCGCAAGCCUGAUGCAGCGACGCCGCGUGAGGGAUGACGGCCUUCGGGUUGUAAACCUCUUUCAGCACCGACGAAGCGCAAGUGACGGUAGGUGCAGAAGAAGGACCGGCCAACUACGUGCCAGCAGCCGCGGUAA
rnacentral:rRNA from 1 species